rnacentral:lncRNA from 1 species
UCCAGAGUCUUCGUGUAUUGGUGACCUUUUGUCUUCAAAUCAGUGCAGCGUUCUUGAAUGAACUGUUAUCGUCUGUUCUGAUUCAGGUUCAAGACCGGCACCGACCGCCAUGUUCUUUACGCAGUGUUUAAACUUUCCUUUCAUAUUUAUAAGUUAAAAAGACAAUGCUUGGUAACUUAGGCUGUCAUCCGGUCUAUUACGAUAUUCGUCUCUCAAAACAUGCGUGAUAGUCAGAGCAGAGCAAUCUUCCAACAAGAUCGCAAGAAAAUAUAGAACGGGGUGAUCGCAAGAAAAUAUAGAACGGGGUGAGUGGUUUCUUGAUGAAUGUAGCUCAGGCCACCAUCGUGGCGGACUUGUCCUCAACAAUUAGCUGGCCGGCCUCUAAGAGCCAUCUGGUAAAACAUGAUCCCCAUUCAGGCCGUGUAGAGCCAAGAAUCGUAGGUUCGAAUAGAUGGUUCUCCUUGGUUGCCACUAACCUGAAAUUAGAUUCAUGGAUUAUAAAUUCAGUCUUAUUAUAUCUAUUUUUGAUACUUUCAUUAUAGUUAAUCUUCAGGUACAAUGGAGGUGGGG